rnacentral:lncRNA from 1 species
GUUUAAUGGAGGAGAAACCAAAGACGGUUAAUCAGAAUGUGGAGUGGAGGUGAAUUCCUGUCACCUUGCUUGUAAUUUGUAGUCUUUUCCACUCCUACUCUGAGCGGUGAAUCAGUAGGUGAUAAAAAUGUCUCCUCUCAAAGAAAUGAUCUAUUGGUGGAAGAUCUGCCACCGCUAAGAUAAUGUGUUGUUUUUCCACAUGCACUUCCAUCCUGGAUAAAUUUAAGUUCACUUUUGAAACUAGUUUCUGAUCUGACCAUUCUAAAUAUCCUGGUGUCCCCUGUGAAGUUAUUGAUCUUUUUAUGAAGGCACUCUACAUAAAGGGCAGGAGCAUCUCUGUUAAUCCUCUUAGACCAGUUCUCUGCCCAGCUUGGCUAAGUUUGACUUUGCACUAUUUUGUGAGAGCAAAAUAGCACACCAACUGUGACUCAAAGUGUAGUCCGUGAAAUAACUUACAGUGAACGUAUAGAGCACAAAGGGGAGCUUGCCACAGUGGUAAGGCAUAGAAAAUGUCCCAAAGAACCAAGAAGUAAUAUGGCUAUACUUCAAGUGCAAACACAUAGAAAGGGUUCCUCAGCUAUGCUCCUGAGCAGCAGGUACUUCUGGCUUCAUGGUGUCCUCACACAUGAUCCUCUAAGGGCUAUCACAGCAUCAAGAGGUUGGAUGCUGCUGUUGUGGAAUUUGUAAGGAGGACUGGGAACAUCGGAAGAGCCUUUGGGAAUAUCUCAGCUGAAAGAAGUAGGUAGGAAAAGCACCCAAGUGUAGCUGAAGUCUGUUCAAAAACAGAUGCAAACUGUGAAGGAACAAAAAAGCUGUAACAGCUAUAGUGAAAAUAUUUAGAACCAGAUUUAACCUUGAUGUUUCUCUCUUGUCAAAGACACAGAAAAGCUUCAGGAGCAACUCAAUUCCAUCCAUCCGGAAGAAAUACCCUAGGAUUUGGCAAGAGUCAUCAGACGGAAUUUUUCUAGAACAAGUCACUGUUUCAAAGACAGACUCUACCUGAAAUACAUAAAAUUGUUAGAGAUCUUUUUUUACACUUCAUGUUUCCUCUUUUGACCAGGACCAGUAAUGCCAGAAUUUCAUAUGAAAAGCUGGCUUUGCUGGGUUUUGGCCACUGUCUGAAGUCAGAGAGCUUUUUUAUGAGAGAAAAUUUUUAUGUGAGAGAAUUUCACUGGUCCCUGAUCUGCUGAAUUAUAGGAGACAUGUAAAUGCCAGAUAAACAUUAGCCUUCAGGUACUUGACUGAACCCUGACUCUGAAAAUUAUGAAGACCGGUCAAAUUUUCCUCUGACUAUUCCUUUUCUUUUGGUAGGUAGAAAAAAGACGUGUUCCCCCCAGAAUGCAUGUAACUGACACUCCUCUUAAGGCUCAAAUUAUUUUACCAUUCUAUUUGAAGAACACUCAGAAUAACUCUCGAGAGCUCUGGUUCAUC